rnacentral:rRNA from 1 species
GAUGAACGCUGGCGGCGUGCUUAACACAUGCGAGUCGAACGGUGAAGCUCCAGCUUGCUGGAGUGGAUCAGUGGCGAACGGGUGAGUAACACGUGAGCAACCUGCCCCUGACUCUGGGAUAACAGCCGGAAACGGCUGCUAAUACCGGAUAUGCACCAUGAACGCAUGUUCUGUGGUGGGAAAGAUUUUUCGGUUGGGGAUGGGCUCGCGGCCUAUCAGCUUGUUGGUGAGGUAAUGGCUCACCAAGGCGUCGACGGGUAGCCGGCCUGAGAGGGUGACCGGCCACACUGGGACUGAGACACGGCCCAGACUCCUACGGGAGGCAGCAGUGGGGAAUAUUGCACAAUGGGCGAAAGCCUGAUGCAGCAACGCCGCGUGAGGGAUGACGGCCUUCGGGUUGUAAACCUCUUUUAGCAGGGAAGAAGCGAGAGUGACGGUACCUGCAGAAAAAGCGCCGGCUAACUACGUG